rfam:Ajellomyces capsulatus G186AR genomic scaffold supercont2.11, whole genome shotgun sequence.
GGGCAAUUAGCUCAGUUGGUAGAGCGUUCGCUUUGCAUGCCUCAGACUGCGAAAGGUCGUGAUUUCGAUUAUCACAUUGUCCA